GACGAACGCUGGCGGCGUGCUUAACACAUGCAAGUCGAACGGAAAGGCCCUGCUUUUGUGGGGUGCUCGAGUGGCGAACGGGUGAGUAACACGUGAGUAACCUGCCCUUGACUUUGGGAUAACUUCAGGAAACUGGGGCUAAUACCGGAUAGGAGCUCCUGCUGCAUGGCGGGGGUUGGAAAGUUUCGGCGGUUGGGGAUGGACUCGCGGCUUAUCAGCUUGUUGGUGGGGUAGUGGCUUACCAAGGCUUUGACGGGUAGCCGGCCUGAGAGGUUGACCGGCCACAUUGGGACAGAGAUACGGCCCCAACUCCUACGGGAAUCAGCAGUGCGGAAUAGUGCACAUUCCACCAACGCCACAUGCAGCAACGCCGCGUGCGCGAUGACCGCCUUCAGCUUGAACACCGCCUUCACCUAUAACGACCCGUCAGUAACCGUAAUGAGUAAAGAAGCACCGGCUAACUACGUC
rnacentral:rRNA from 1 species